rnacentral:rRNA from 1 species
UACGUAGGGCGCAAGCGUUCUCCGGAAUUAUUGGGCGUAAAGAGCUCGUAGGCGGUUUGUCGCGUCUGCCGUGAAAGUCCGGGGCUCAACUCCGGAUCUGCGGUGGGUACGGGCAGACUAGAGUGAUGUAGGGGAGACUGGAAUUCCUGGUGUAGCGGUGAAAUGCGCAGAUAUCAGGAGGAACACCGAUGGCGAAGGCAGGUCUCUGGGCAUUAACUGACGCUGAGGAGCGAAAGCAUGGGGAGCGAACAGG